rnacentral:rRNA from 1 species
UACGGGGGGGGCAAGCGUUGUUCGGAAUUACUGGGCGUAAAGCGCGUGUAGGCGGCUUGGCAAGUCAGAUGUGAAAGCCCUCGGCUUAACCGAGGAAGUGCGUCUGAAACUGCUGAGCUUGAGUGUCGGAGAGGAUGGCGGAAUUCCGCAAGUAGAGGUGAAAUUCGUAGAUAUGUGGAGGAACACCGAUGGCGAAGGCAGCCCCCUGGGUUAACACUGACGCUCAUGCACGAAAGCGUGGGGAGCAAACAGG